GACGAACGCUGGCGGCGUGCUUAACACAUGCAAGUCGAACGGAAAGGCCCUGCUUGCCGGGUGCUCGAGUGGCGAACGGGUGAGUAACACGUGGGUGAUCUGCCCCUUACUUUGGGAUAAGCCUGGGAAACUGGGUCUAAUACUGGAUAGGACCAUGCUGUAGGUGGUGUGGUGGAAAGAUUAGUUUCGGUAAGGGAUGAGCUCGCGGCCUAUCAGCUUGUUGGUGGGGUAAUGGCCUACCAAGGCGUCGACGGGUAGCCGGCCUGAGAGGGUGGACGGCCACAUUGGGACUGAGAGACGGCCCAGACUCCUACGGGAGGCAGCAGUGGGGAAUAUUGCACAAUGGGCGCAAGCCUGAUGCAGCGACGCCGCGUGGGGGAUGACGGCCUUCGGGUUGUAAACUCCUUUCGGCCAUGACGAAGCCCUUGUGGUGACGGUAGUGGUAGAAGAAGCACCGGCUAACUACGUG
rnacentral:rRNA from 1 species